rnacentral:rRNA from 1 species
UACGUAGGGUGCAAGCGUUGUCCGGAAUUAUUGGGCGUAAAGAGCUCGUAGGCGGUCUGUCGCGUCGGGCUGUGAAAACUCCGGGGCUCAACUCCGAGCUUGCAGGUCGAUACGGGGCAGGCUAGAGUUCGGCAGGGGGAGACUGGAAAUUCCUGGUGUAGCGGUGAAAUGCGCAGAUAUCAGGAGGAACACCUGUGGUGUAGACAGCUUACUGGACCACUUCUGACGCUGAGACACGAAAGCGUGGGUAGCAAACAGG